AGCAAGUGGUUCUGUAAAAGGGUUGGAUCCGACGCCUUUUGGAGCCAACCCUGUAAAAGGGUUGGAUCCGACGCCUCUCUUUCUCAUCUCCUACUCAAUACGUCCACGACGUGCAGAACGGUAACUUGUCGCCUAGAUCCAAGCUUGGGUACACGGGGAAACCCAACCCCUUGGGCGGAUGGGCGGCAAGGCUGAAUUGAGAGAU
rnacentral:ribozyme from 1 species